UGGGGAAUAUUGGACAAUGGGCGCAAGCCUGAUCCAGCCAUGCCGCGUGGAUGAUGAAGGCCUUAGGGUUGUAAAGUCCUUUUAACGGGGAAGAUAAUGACGUUACCCGUAGAAUAAGCCCCGGCUAACUUCGUGCCAGCAGCCGCGGUAAUACGAAGGGGGCUAGCGUUGCUCGGAAUUACUGGGCGUAAAGCGCACGUAGGCGGCUCUUUAAGUCGGGGGUGAAAUCCUGGAGCUCAACUCCAGAACUGCCUUCGAUACUGUAGAGCUUGAGUUCGGGAGAGGUGAGUGGAACUGCGAGUGUAGAGGUGAAAUUCGUAGAUAUUCGCAAGAACACCAGUGGCGAAGGCGGCUCACUGGCCCGAUACUGACGCUGAGGUGCGAAAGCGUGGGAGCAAAACAGGAUUAGAUACCCUGGUAGUCCACGCCGUAAACGAUGAAUGCUAGCCGUUGUCAGGCUUGCCUGUCAGUGGCGCAGCUAACGC
rnacentral:rRNA from 1 species